rfam:Sinorhizobium sp. RAC02, complete genome.
AAAUCUGACGGCAAACAUUCUUGUGGUGGGAACGCGCAUGGGCAGGGUGGUGUAACCACCCGGCGAAAGCACCCAUGCGCGGUAAGCAGGCUCCUCCAAGGGGCCUUUUUUUAUGCCCAGAA